UACGUAGGGGGCAAGCGUUGCUCGGAAUUAUUGGGCGUAAAGGGUAGGUAGGUGGUGACAUUUGUCUGGGGUGAAAUCCCUGAGCUUAACUCAGGAAGUGCCUUGGAAACGGUGUCACUAGAGUACUGGAGAGGUUCGCAGAAUUCUUGGUGUAGCGGUGAAAUGCGUAGAGAUCAAGAGGAAUACCAGAGGCGAAGGCGGCGAACUGGACAGUAACUGACACUAAACUACGAAAGCGUGGGGAGCAAACAGG
rnacentral:rRNA from 1 species